AACAAAGCCAAUAUGGAUGCGCAAUCCAAAGGAUGUUGAGAAAGAACAGUACCAGGAAUUCUAUAAGAAUACCUUUAGUGAGUUCCUGGAUCCACUUGCUUACACUCACUUCACCAAAGAUCAGAAAUCGCGAUU